GAUGAACGCUAGCGACAGGCCUAACACAUGCAAGUCGAGGGGCAGCAUAAAGGUAGCAAUACUUUGGUGGCGACCGGCGCACGGGUGAGUAACACGUAUGCAACCUGCCUGUAAGAGGGGAAUAACCCGGAGAAAUUCGGACUAAUACCGCAUAAUACCACGAAUUCGCAUGGAUUUGUGUUUAAACAUUUAUGGCUUACAGAUGGGCAUGCGUAUGAUUAGCUAGUAGGUGAGGUAACGGCUCACCUAGGCAACGAUCAUUAGGGGUUCUGACAGGAAGGUCCCCCAAACUGGGACUGGGAACCGGACCCGACUCCUACCGGAGGCAGCAGUGGGGAAUAUUGGUCAAUGGGCGAGAGCCUGAACCAGCCAAGUCGCGUGAAGGAAGAAGGUUCUAUGGAUUGUAAACUUCUUUUGUAAGGGAAUAAAAAGAGUUACGUGUAACUUAUUGUAUGUACUUUACGAAUAAGGAUCGGCUAACUCCGUGCCAGCCGCCGCUGUAAUAC
rnacentral:rRNA from 1 species